AUACGUAGGGGGCGAGCGUUGUCCGGAAUUACUGGGCGUAAAGAGCUCGUAGGUGGUUUGUCGCGUCGUCUGUGAAAUUCCGGGGCUUAACUCCGGGCGUGCAGGCGAUACGGGCAUAACUUGAGUACUGUAGGGGAGACUGGAAUUCCUGGUGUAGCGGUGAAAUGCGCAGAUAUCAGGAGGAACACCGGUGGCGAAGGCGGGUCUCUGGGCAGUAACUGACGCUGAGGAGCGAAAGCAUGGGUAGCGAACAGGAUUAGAUACCCUGGUAGUCCAUGCCGUAAACGGUGGGCGCUAGGUGUAGGGGUCUUCCACGACUUCUGUGCCGUAGCUAACGCAUUAAGCGCCCCGCCUGGGGAGUACGGCCGCAAGGCUAAAACUUAAAGGAAUUGACGGGG
rnacentral:rRNA from 1 species